rnacentral:rRNA from 1 species
GAGGAACCUGCCCCGAAGACUGGAAUAACCCGGGGAAACUCGGGCUAAUACCGGAUAUCCCCACCAGGUCGCAUGGCCAGGUGAGGAAAUGCUCCGGCGCUUCGGGAGGGUCUCGCGGCCUAUCAGCUAGUUGGUGAGGUAACGGCUCACCAAGGCAUCGACGGGUAGCUGGUCUGAGAGGACGAUCAGCCACACUGGGACUGAGACACGGCCCAGACUCCUACGGGAGGCAGCAGUGGGGAAUCUUGCGCAAUGGGCGAAAGCCUGACGCAGCCACGCCGCGUGAGGGAUGAAGGCUUUCGGGUUGUAAACCUCUUUCAGCAGGGACGAAAAUGACGGUACCUGCAGAAGAAGCUCCGGCCAACUACGUGCCAGCAGCCGCGGUAACACGUAGGGAGCAAGCGUUGUCCGGAUUUAUUGGGCGUAAAGAGCUCGUAGGCGGUUCAGUCAGUCGGGUGUGAAAACUUGAGGCUCAACCUCAAGAGGCCACUCGAUACUGCUGUGACUAGAGUCCGGUAGAGGAGUGUGGAAUUCCUGGUGUAGCGGUGAAAUGCGCAGAUAUCAGGAGGAACACCGACAGCGAAGGCAGCACUCUGGGCCGGUACUGACGCUGAGGAGCGAAAGCAUGGGGAGCAAACAGGAUUAGAUACCCUGGUAGUCCAUGCCGUAAACGUUGGGCACUAGGUGUGGGGUCUCGCUAACAGAUCCCGUGCCGCAGCUAACGCAUUAAGUGCCCCGCCUGGGG